AUAUUUAUUUCCGGACACUUGUUACUAUAAAACAACCGAAAUUUUUGUACUUACAGCACUAUUCUUGAAGCAAUAAUUAUCAACAAUGGCCAAAAUCCUACUAAAGGCAUUUAUAAUAACCGCUUUAAUGGUAUAUUUUGCCUACGCUCUCCCUCAAAAAGAGGAGCAAGAUCGAGCCCCGAAAUAAGAUUACGCAUUUAUAAAAAAAGAAGCAAGGAUACAUGAAAAGGAAUGAAGCUUUGUUAGAACACUAUAUUAAACUAUUUGCAAACUAAAAAA